GUUCGUGCUGUGCUCUUCAUCGUCGCCACCGCGCCACCACACCGGAGAAGAAGGCAGGCUCGGGGGCCACGCCGUCGACCGGCGCAACGCCACUGCCCGCUGGUCCACGCGUCGGUCUUGCUGGAGGUGGCCGCGUCUCGCUGGUCCGCGACGCCGGCAUGCUUCCCUGCGGCCGGGGACGGGGCCUGAACUACACAGCGAGGACCUCGGCGCCGAGCCGUCGGGUGUGCCCAUCAACUAGCUGACCUCACCGCUCCGGCCGAGGUCGACCUUGCCGCGCUGCCCGAGGGAGCCCGCGCAGUCGGCAGCCAGCCAUGGCGCAGCCUGAUCCUCUCCGACCCCUAACGAGGAGGCGAUGUCCGAGCCGGACCUCGAGGCGCAGCAAGCAAGCGACGGCGGCGAGACAGCAGGCCACGGAGGAGCAUAUGGUUCGAAGGGCGUUGUCGGCGCGUCCUCUCCGCUGUGGAGAAGACCAAGGAGGCUACCAGCUGCCGAGGAGGCCGAGCUGGAGGGGAUGCCGCCCGAGUUCUACGAUGAGGUAUGUGCGCAUCUGUGCACGUGAAUGGGUGGAUUUCAUAUUUAGUUCGUCACUUCGCCUAGCCAUUUGAUGGCCGGGGAUGGAUUGCUGCCUUGCCGGAGUAGGGGCGGACCCCGGGGUGCACCAGGAGCCGGA